rnacentral:rRNA from 1 species
UACGUAGGGGCAAGCGUUGUCCGGAAUCAUUGGGCGUAAAGCGCGUGUAGGCGGCCCGGUAAGUCCGCUGUGAAAGUCGGGGGCUCAACCCUCGAAUGCCGGUGGAUACUGUCGGGCUCGAGUACGGGAGAGGCGAGUGGAAUCCUGGUGUAGCGGUGAAAUGCGCAGAUAUCAGGAGGAACACCGAUGCGAAGGCAGCUCGCUGGAA